GCGUGCUGAAUGAGAUAAGAUUUCUAGACAUCCCUGGAAUAUACCUGACAUUCUUCAGUGUGCGUGUCAUGUCAUCAUCAGUCUUGAUCUGAACUGAUCCUCACAUGGGUUAUCAUCUCUCAUCUGCACAACAUUCCCUUUCUGCACAGGCUCAUAUGAACUAAACCAAUUUCUGUUAGUGCAAAUAUGAAAUGAACAUGCGGAAUCAAGAAUCCAUUCAUCAUGACUUGCAACACAACCAGCAAAUACUACCAGACAAUCUCCA
rnacentral:lncRNA from 1 species